CGGUUAGCUCAGUCGGUAGAGCAGGAGACUUUUAAUCUCUUGGUCCGGGGUUCGAGUCCCC
rnacentral:tRNA from 1 species